UACGUAGGGUGCGAGCGUUGUCCGGAAUUAUUGGGCGUAAAGAGCUCGUAGGCGGUCUGUCGCGUCGAUCGUGAAAACUUGGGGCUUAACCCUGAGCCUGCGGUCGAUACGGGCAUGACUGGAGUUCGGCAGGGGAGACUGGAAUUCCUGGUGUAGCGGUGAAAUGCGCAGAUAUCAGGAGGAACACCGGUGGCGAAGGCGGGUCUCUGGGCCGAUACUGACGCUGAGGAGCGAAAGCGUGGGGAGCGAACAGG
rnacentral:rRNA from 1 species